AGCAGCAGCCACGGUAAUACGUAGGUCCCGAGCGUUGUCCGGAUUUAUUGGGCGUAAAGCGAGCGCAGGCGGUUAGAUAAGUCUGAAGUUAAAGGCUGUGGCUUAACCAUAGUACGCUUUGGAAACUGUUUAACUUGAGUGCAAGAGGGGAGAGUGGAAUUCCAUGUGUAGCGGUGAAAUGCGUAGAUAUAUGGAGGAACACCGGUGGCGAAAGCGGCUCUCUGGCUUGUAACUGACGCUGAGGCUCGAAAGCGUGGGGAGCAAACAGGAUUAGAUACCCCCGUAGUCCCUGUCUCUUAUACA
rnacentral:rRNA from 1 species